rnacentral:rRNA from 1 species
ACACGUGGUAUAAUCUUCCUUAAAGUGGGGAAUAACCUAUCGAAAGAUGGGCUAAUACCGCAUAAGACCACAACAUCUUUGGAUGAAGGGGUUAAAGGCUUCGGUCGCUUUAAGAUGAGUCUGCGUCCGNNNNNNUAGUUGGUAGGGUAAUGGCCUACCAAGGCGACGAUCGGUAACUGGUCUGAGAGGAUGACCAGUCACACUGGGACUGAGACACGGCCCAGACUCCUACGGGAGGCAGCAGUAGGGAAUAUUGCACAAUGGAGGAAACUCUGAUGCAGCGACGCCGCGUGAGUGAUGAAGGCCUUCGGGUUGUAAAGCUCUGUUCUCAGGGAAUAAUAAAUUGAAUGUACCUGAGGAGAAAGGACCGGCUAACUUCGUGCCAGCAGCCGCGGUAAGACGGGGGGUCCAAGCGUUGUUCGGAAUUAUUGGGCGUAAAGCGGGUGUAGGUGGCUUUGUAAGUCAGAAGUGAAAGCCCUGGGCUUAACCCAGGAAGUGCUUUUGAUACUGCGAAGCUUGAGUGUGGGAGAGGAUAGUAGAAUUCCUAGUGUAGUGGUGAAAUACGUAGAUAUUAGGAGGAAUACCGGUGGCGAAGGCGGCUAUCUGGCCCAACACUGACACUCAGACCCGAAAGCGUGGGGAUCAAACAGGAUUAGAUACCCUGGUAGUCCACGCCUUAAACGAUGGAUACUUGGUGUUGGAGGUAUUGACCCCUUCAGUGCCGAAGCUAACGCGUUAAGUAUCCCGCCUGGGGAGUACGGUCGCAAGAUUAAAACUCAAAGAAAUUGACGGGGGCC